UAGCCCUUAUCCUAUAUAUGUGUGUGUAAAUACUUAUUAGUUCAAUGAAAUGCCAUAAAUCUUUAAUGAUCUAAGAAAAUUGAGAUUGGGUAAGUAUUGGCUUCUAUGAAAUUUGAGUAAGUAUAUUAGUUUAGUGCAUGCAAAAUGCCUAAAAGUUAUUUUCAUUUUACAUUUCAGAAGAAAAGGUCUAAUUCUUAACCUUUCAUCAGCCGUUGGCACCUUUCCUUGUCCUUUAUAUGCAAUCUAUUCUGCAUCUAAGGCUUUUGUAUAUACAUUUUCCAAAGCACUUCAAGUGGAAUAUAAGUCAAAAGGAAUUGUGAUACAGGCAGUGACUCCCUUUGCGGUUUCUACUCCAAUGAUCAUGCAUAAGCA